ACGGGUGAGUAACGCGUGGGAACCUACCCAGAACUUCGGAAUAACACAUGGAAACGUGUGCUAAUACCGGAUACGCCCUACGGGGGAAAGAUUUAUCGGUUUUGGAUGGGCCCGCGUAAGAUUAGCUAGUUGGUGAGGUAAUGGCUCACCAAGGCGACGAUCUUCAGCUGGUCUGAGAGGAUGAUCAGCCACACUGGGACUGAGACACGGCCCAGACUCCUACGGGAGGCAGCAGUGGGGAAUAUUGGACAAUGGGCGCAAGCCUGAUCCAGCCAUGCCGCGUGAGUGAUGAAGGCCUUAGGGUUGUAAAGCUCUUUCAGUAGGGAAGAUAAUGACGGUACCUACAGAAGAAGCCCCGGCUAACUUCGUGCCAGCAGCCGCGGUAAUACGAAGGGGGCUAGCGUUGUUCGGAUUUACUGGGCGUAAAGCGCACGUAGGCGGAUCGUUAAGUUAGGGGUGAAAUCCUGGAGCUCAACUCCAGAACUGCCUCUAAUACUGGCGAUCUAGAGUCCGGAAGAGGUGAGUGGAACUCCUAGUGUAGAGGUGGAAUUCGUAGA
rnacentral:rRNA from 1 species